GCGAAGUCGCAAGACGAUGUAUAUGGACUGACGCCUGCCCGGUGCUGGAAGGUUAAAAGGAGAGGUGAGAGCUUUGAAUUGAAGCCCCAGUAAACGGCGGCCGUAACUAUAACGGUCCUAAGGUAGCGAAAUUCCUUGUCGGGUAAGUUCCGACCUGCACGAAUGGUGUAACGAUCUGGGCACUGUCUCAGCCACGAGCUCGGUGAAAUUGUAGUAGCGGUGAAGAUGCCGCUUACCCGCAACGGGACGAAAAGACCCCGUGCACCUUUACUAUAGCUUCGCAGUGGUAUUAGUGAACAAAUGUGUAGGAUAGGCCGGAGGCUUUGAAGCAGUACCGCCAGGUAUUGUGGAGCCAUCCUUGAAAUACGGCCCUUUUGUUUUCUGAUAUCUAACCGC
rnacentral:rRNA from 1 species